GGAGGAUUACUUGAACCCAGGAGUUUGAGGUUACAGUGAGCUAUGAUCAUGCCACUGCACUCCAGCCUGAGUGACAGAGCAAGAUCCUGUGUC
rnacentral:miRNA from 1 species